rnacentral:rRNA from 1 species
GUAGGUGGCAAGCGUUGUCCGGAAUUAUUGGGAGUAAAGCGCGCGCAGGCGGUUCUUUAAGUCUGAUGUGAAAGCCCACGGCUCAACCGUGGAGGGUCAUUGGAAACUGGAGAACUUGAGUACAGAAGAGGAAAGCGGAAUUCCACGUGUAGCGGUGAAAUGCGUAGAGAUGUGGAGGAACACCAGUGGCGAAGGCGGCUUUCUGGUCUGUAACUGACGCUGAGGCGCGAAAGCGUGGGGAGCAAACAGGAUUAGAUACCCUGGUAGUCCACGCCGUAAACGAUGAGUGCUAAGUGUUAGGGGGUUUUCCGCCCCCCUUAGUGCUGCAGCUAACGCAUUAAGCACUCCGCCUGGGAGUACGGCCGCAAGGCUG